rnacentral:tRNA from 1 species
GGAGGAGUGCUCGAGUGGUUUAAGGGAACGGUCUUGAAAACCGUCGUGGCGCAUGCGUCACCGUGGGUUCGAAUCCCACCUCCUCCGCCA